UACGAAGGGGGCUAGCGUUGCUCGGAAUGACUGGGCGUAAAGGGCGCGUAGGCGGAUGGCACAGUCAGAUGUGAAAUUCCCGGGCUUAACCUGGGGGCUGCAUUUGAUACGUGUUGUCUUGAGUUCGGAAGAGGGUCGUGGAAUUCCCAGUGUAGAGGUGAAAUUCGUAGAUAUUGGGAAGAACACCGGUGGCGAAGGCGGCGACCUGGUCCGGACACUGACGCUGAGGCGCGAAAGCUGGGGGAGCGAACAGG
rnacentral:rRNA from 1 species